GACCGUUUUACGCAGUCCACCCAUUCCUCCUUCAAACUAUCUCAAACGCUCCAAUGCCCCCAGAUUUCAUCACCACACACACACACACACACACACACACAAACUAUCUCACUCCCACACAUCUGAAGAAAACGAGGAAAAAUUCAAUAGAAAACUGAAAUGCAGAUUCUGACUCAGAUUUUCGUUCCCUAUACUCUUCCUCUCAACGAAGGGGGCCUUCGCCGUGGCACUCUCUCCAAAACCCCAACAUUUUCUAUAAACCCUUUGAAGAAAAGUUGGAGCCCAGGAGUUGCCUUCUUGGUCGAUUGGGGAGGAAUUUUUUGUCAUUGGGCUAAAAAGGACAAGCGGGUGGUAUUUUCAGCGGUUGAGGAAGGAAGCUUGGCUCAUGGUGUACAAAGAAAGAGAAAAGUUGUUGAACAUAUAUGCCUAUUCAAAGCAAAAAAGGAUUUGUCCGAGGAUCAAGAGAAAGACAUGCUGGAUUAUCUUUACACCACGCAAUAUCAUAUGCGUGGCAUUGUGGCCCUAUCAUUAGGACGUAUUUCUGAACCAAAUCCUGAACAAUAUACCCAUGCGAUCUUUAUGCGUUUCCAGACAAAAGAGGACCUUGCCAAGUUUUAUGAGAACCCUUUUUAUUUGGGAGUUCUCAAGGAACAUGUCAUGCCUUAUUGUCAUGGGUUUUUCUAUUUGGACUAUGAAUCUGAAGUAGAAGAUGAUAUACUGCCAAUAUUUCGCAAAGGCGAGGAAUUCAAUCAUGGAGUUGAACUCGUGCUUCUUGUAGCAUUUAGUAGGAGUUCUCUGGGUGGGCCUGCAGAAGAUGCGAUGACUUCUCUGGAAAACCUGACUAUGGAAUUCCCUUCUUUGAUUGUUCAAGCUACUAAAGGUCCAAAUUUGAAUAUGACCAAUAUGGAAUAUACUCAUGGGGUAGUAAUACGAUUUCGGUCAUCUGAGGCCUUCAAGAUAUUCAUGAACAGUUCGGAAUACAGUACUGUAAGGAAAAUAUCCAUUGGCUUGUUAAGCAUGCCCUUGACAUUUUUGGUUCUGAACUUAUGUUGUUUUUCAUAAGAACUUAUGGUUCUUCAAUAACUAGACCAAUAGCAACUUCUUGAGAGAUAGGACGCAUAAUGAGUAUCUCUCUCAUAUUUUAUAUUCUAUGGAUAUCACAAAGAUGUGGAAAUCUAAAUUCCAGCCCUUCAUCCAAAAGGUUCUGUCUCUGCAUUUUUUGGUAGAUCCCAUUGGCACAGAGCUUAUGUAGCCAGUGUGUCCAUGUAAAGGAGAAGGUGAAUUGGGAUGGUGCAUGGGUUGUUGAUUUGAGGAAACAGAGUUCCAGUUGGAAGAGUCUGAUUCCACUCUCCUCUGUCCCUCUAAAUGUCUGCAACUCCUCUUCCUUGAUAAUGGCCUUAUUCUUUGACUCUGAGACAGCACCUGUUUGUUGUAUGUGGAAAAGUCGUGCUUUCAAUAAUUUAAACACUCCCCCUAAUUUUAUCCUUCAUUAAAGAAUAAGGGUUCGUUGUACAUACACGACUGUAAUAUCAUUCAUCUUUUUGGUUUAAUUUUAAAUCUUGGACUCACUUUCUUUUUCA